GAUGAACGCUAGCGGCAGGCUUAAUACAUGCAAGUCGAGGGACAGCACGGGUAGCAAUACUGGGUGGUAACCGGCAAACGGGUGCGGAACACGUACACAACCUUCCUUUAAGUGGGGAAUAGCCCAGAGAAAUUUGGAUUAAUACCCCGUAAUAUAGUUGAAUGGCAUCAUUUGAUUAUUAUAGCUACGGCGCUUAAUGAUGGGUGUGCGGCUGAUUAGAUAGUUGGCGGGGUAACGGCCCACCAAGUCUACGAUCAGUAGCUGAUGUGAGAGCAUGGUCAGCCACACGGGCACUGAGACACGGGCCCGACUCCUACGGGAGGCAGCAGUAAGGAAUAUUGGUCAAUGGACGCAAGUCUGAACCAGCCAUGCCGCGUGAAGGAUUAAGGUCCUCUGGAUUGUAAACUUCUUUUAUUUGGGACGAAAAAGGGCCUUUCUAGGUCAACUGACGGUACCAGAUGAAUAAGCACCGGCUAACUCCGUGCCAGCCGCCGCAGUAACAC
rnacentral:rRNA from 1 species